rnacentral:rRNA from 1 species
GACAGAGGAUGCAAGCGUUAUCCGGAAUGAUUGGGCGUAAAGCGUCUGUAGGUGGCUUUUUAAGUCCGCCGUCAAAUCCCAGGGCUCAACCCUGGACAGGCGGUGGAACUACCAAGCUGGAGUACGGUAGGGGCAGAGGGAAUUUCCGGUGGAGCGGUGAAAUGCGUAGAUAUCGGGAAGAACACCAACGGCGAAAGCACUCCGCUGGGCCGACACUGACACUGAGAGACGAAAGCUAGGGGAGCGAAGGACGUAGUAA